GUGCCUUUCUCUGUGCCGGAGUCCUGUGUCUCCCAAGGCUUCUGUAUAUGGUUAUUUGGCAGCUAAUUCUAGAUUUGGAUCAUUGCCCAAAGUUGCACUUGCUGGUCUCUUGGGAUUUGGCCUUGGAAAGGUAUCAUACAUAGGAGUAUGCCAGAGUAAAUUCCAUUUUUUUGAAGAUCAGCUCCGUGGGGCUGGUUUUGGUCCACAGCAUAACAGG
rnacentral:sRNA from 1 species